UAAACGUAAUUGCUAAAAUAUACUUAAGUAUCAAAAGUAUAAAUAAUUUGGUAUAGGCAAAGCUUGAUUGCCCAAUGACCGACCGACCAUAUGCCGCAAACUUCCUGUAGCCUAAGUGAUUGACUCACAUUCUAAAACAUCGGACACACAGUACCUUCUAUACUAUAGGUUGAGGCCCAAUUAUGUAAUACCAACUGACUUGUGGAAGUAUGACUAUAUAGUUUGCACAUCCAAUCCUUUCAGAUCUACACAGCAGGAUCAUUAGAUAUCUUCCGGGAAGGGGCAGUGGUCGAUUUAGGAUUGGGCGAUUGUCAAACAGAGAUAGGUACCUCACUUUGCUGGUGGGGUUACUGACGUUGAAAGUUAGCCUACAUGUCACAGCAAUCUGAUGAGGAUUCUAUGAGUCUGUUUUUGACUCAUGCUGGACACUAAAAAUAGCAAUGGUCUCUUGGAUAUCUGCAUGAGAUGUGCACGAAAUAAUGGAAAGAUCAAGCAUGGGAAACAGCAACAGAACAACUUCCUACAGGGGUUGUUCUUGUACUUCACCGCCAGCUUGAUCUGAGCCUGGGCCUUUCCCACAAAGUCUGUUGUUGCGACUACGUUGGCCACCAUGGCCCUCUGUUCCUCCACCAGCAGAGCCAUCUGGAAGAACAGCUCAUGGAUGUCCAUAUAGUGGAAGUAUUUGAACUGCACUCAACAUGGGAAACAGCAACAGAACAACUUCCUACAGGGGUUGUUCUUGUACUUCACCGCCAGCUUGAUCUGAGCCUGGGCCUUGCCCACAAAGUCUGUUGUUGCGACUACGUUGGCCACCAUGGCCCUCUGUUCCUCCACCAGCAGAGCCAUCUGGAAGAACAGCUCAUGGAUGUCCAUACAGUGGAAGUAUUACUAUAUAGUUUACGCAUCCAAUCCUUUCAGAUCUACACAGCGGGAUCAUUAGAUAUCUGUGGGGAAGGAGCAGUGAGUGGUUGAUUUAGGAUUGGGCGAUUGUCGAACAGAGAGAUAGGUACCUCACUUGCUGGUGGGGUUAUGGAACACAGACGUUGAAAGUUAGCCUACACGUCACAGCAAUCUGAUGAGGAUUCUCUGAGUCUGUUUUUGACUCAUGAUGGACACUAGAAAUAGCAAUGGUCUCUUGGAUAUCUGCAUGUGAUGUGUACUAUACAAUGGAAAAAUUGAGGCACAGUCUUGUUUUCUUAACAAUGUCAAAUCCAGUUGAGUCAUUUUGAGGUUGCCUUCAGUUGCAAUAUCAGUCAGUGUAGCAAUAACGGUUGUGUCUCCAAGAAAGGAACUCAAAUGUAUCACAAUGAUAACAGCUGAGAAUGAUGCAUCAUGAUCAAGUAAUUGUGUACAUCAAAAAUGAAUGCUCAAAUGAAACACAAAGGGCCAUUCUACAGCAUUUGUAUUCAUAAAAUUCCCAAUAUCCUGUUAUGAAACAUAAAUAAUAUAAAAUAUAAAAAAAUUGUAAAAUAAUCAAACAUUCAAUACAGCUGAAAGUUAAAGGAAUAGUGGGAGAAGGAAACAUUUGAACUGCACUCAAGUAAACAUUCUUGAUUGACUAAUCAAGUACUCUUUUAACUGCCAGCCUGGAGCACCGAACAAAUGUUUUCUUUUUACAACAUUAAAGAAAUGGAACACCCCAUAUCACACUAUAUUGCAUGUUAGCUUCAGCGGUUUGACAUCAAGAUACUGGGUCUUCUCUCCUAACACCAGCUAGGCAAGGGUGUUAAUGUACAAUAAGAGAUAGAAAUAGCUGCAUGACAUACAAAAUGGCACCCUCAUUCAAACUGCAUAAAUCAUUUUAAACAUACACUGAGUGCGCAAAACAUUAGGAACACCUUCUCUUUCCAUGAUAUAGACUGACC